GUGUCAGCCGCCGCGGUAAUACGAAGGGGGCUAGCGUUGUUCGGAAUUACUGGGCGUAAAGCGCGCGCAGGCGGCCUUACAAGUCAGAGGUGAAAGCCCGGAGCUUAACUCCGGAAUUGCCCCUGAGACUGUUUGGCUUCGAGUACGGGAGAGGUGAGUGGAAUUCCGAGUGUAGAGGUGAAAUUCGUAGAUAUUCGGAAGAACACCGGUGGCGAAGGCGGCUCACUGGCCCGUUACUGACGCUCAGGCGCGACAGCGUGGGGAUCAAACAGGAUUAGAAACCCCCGUAGUCC
rnacentral:rRNA from 1 species